rfam:Schistosoma mansoni strain Puerto Rico chromosome 4, complete genome
AUCCGGCUGAUGAUCCCCAAAUAGGUCGAAACGCGCUUCUUGGAU